GACGAACGCUGGCGGCGUGCUUAACACAUGCAAGUCGAACGGGUCUGCCCUGUUUUUUGCGGGGUGGGUCAGUGGCGAACGGGUGAGUAACACGUGAGUAACCUGCCCCUCACUUCUGGAUAACCGCUUGAAAGGGUGGCUAAUACGGGGUGUUCUGGCUGUGCCGCAUGGUGUGGCUGGGAAAGAUUCACUUUUGUGGUGUUUUGGUGGGGGAUGGGCUCGCGGCCUAUCAGCUUGUUGGUGGGGUGAUGGCCUGCCAAGGCUUUGACGGGUAGCCGGCCUGGGAGGGUGGGCGGUCACACUGGGACUGAGAUACGGCCCAGACUCCUGCGGGAGGCAGCAGUGGGGGGUAUUGCACAAUGGGCGGAAGCCUGAUGCAGCGACGUCGCGUGAGGGAUGGAGGCCUGCGGGUUGUGAACCUCUUUCGCCGGUGAAGAAGGUCCUGCUCUUUGGGGUGGGGUUGACGGUAGCCGGGUUAUGAAGCGCCGGCUAACUACGUG
rnacentral:rRNA from 1 species